GUAGGCGGUUAUGUAAGCGAGUGAUGAAAACUAUCGGCUCAACCGAUAGCCUAUUAUUCGAACUGCAUAACUCGAGAGUAUCAGAGGUCGCUGGAAUUCCUAGUGUAGGAGUGAAAUCCGUAGAUAUUAGGAGGAACACCAAUGGCGUAGGCAGGCGACUGGGAUAUUUCUGACGCUAAGGCACGAAAGCGUGGGGAGCGAACCGGAUUAGAUACCCGGGUAGUCCACGCCGUAAACUAUGGAUGCUAAUUGUUUGGGGUAUCGACCCCUCGAGUAAUAAAGCUAACGCGUUAAGCAUCCCGCCUGUGGAGUACGGCCGCAAGGCUAAAACAUAAAGGAAUUGACGGGGACCCGCACAAGCGGUGGAGGAUGUUCUUUAAUUCGAUGCUAAGCGAAGAACCUUACCAGGGCUUGACAUCCCUUGAAUUUCUCCGAAAGGAGAGAGUGCUUUAUUGAACAAGGUGACAGAUUCUGCAUGGCCGUCGUCAGCUCGUGUCGUGAGAUGUUUGGUUAAGUCCAUCAACGAGCGCAACCCUUAUUGUCAGUUGUAUUUUUCUGGCAAGACUGCCCCGGUAACGGGGAGGAAGGGGGGGAUGAUGUCAGGUCAGUAUUGAUCUUACGUCCUGGGCUAGAAACGUCCUACAAUGGCCGGUACAACGGGCAGCUAACCCGCGAGGGGGAGCAAAUCCCAUCAAAGCCGGUCCCAGUUCGGAUUGCAGGCUGAAACUCGCCUGCAUGAAGUCGGAAUCGCUAGUAAUCGCAGAUCAGCACGCUGCGGUGAAUACGUUCCCGGGUCUUGUACACACCGCCCGUCAAACCAUGAAAGUCAGGAGCACCCGACGUCCGAAUUUAUUUCGGCCUAAGGUGAGCUUGGUGAUUGGGGUU
rnacentral:rRNA from 1 species